UCCCAACUUGCUUCAUGCAUAUCUGUGUCAUAGCCAAUCUAGAUAUGUGCGUACGAAGAUUGAUUCAUUGAUUGUCACACGUAAUUGAAUUGUGAUUUGGUCAUAACUGAAAAAUAUAUUGCUUCAACUAUCAGCGACAACUAUUUAUAAAUCUCGACAUACAAAAAAUAAACCGAGUUGUCUAAGCUUAACUGUCAUCCAUAAAACAUAUAAAUCAAUUAGAAUGGGCAGCUGUGGGACCGUGGGGCUAGUUCUUCUUUGCAUAUUUUUACCUCCGGUCGCAGUUUAUAUUGAAACGGAAAAGUUUUGUCCUUACGUCGUAAUAAAUAUUUUGCUAUGGAUUUGUUUCGGCCUACCCGGAAUUAUUAACGCGUUCGUCGUCUGCUUUAUCUGCAAAAAUUGCCGAAAUAAAGAUGAUCAAGAGAAAGGCGGAAAAGCAUAGGAUUCGUAUAUGUUAAUGGAAUUUAGCCAUUUUAUAAUGUUAAUAUAUUUAAUUCUCAUUUCUUAAAAAAUAAAAUAAUGCAACAUAAA